GCGUUAAGUAUCCCGCCUGGGGAGUACGCACGCAAGUGUGAAACUCAAAGGAAUUGACGGGGGCCCGCACAAGCGGUGGAGUAUGUGGUUUAAUUCGAUGCAACGCGAAGAACCUUACCAAGACUUGACAUCCUGCGAAUUCCGGUGAAAGCUGGGAGUGCCUUAGGGAGCGCAGAGACAGGUGGUGCAUGGCUGUCGUCAGCUCGUGUCGUGAGAUGUUGGGUUAAGUCCCGCAACGAGCGCAACCCUCGUUUUUAGUUGCCAGCAUUAAGUUGGGCACU
rnacentral:rRNA from 1 species